GGCCCUAUGGGUUGUAAACUUCUUUUGUAUAGGGAUAAACCUACUCUCGUGAGAGUAGCUGAAGGUACUAUACGAAUAAGCACCGGCUAACUCCGUGCCAGCAGCCGCGGUAAUACGGAGGGUGCAAGCGUUAUCCGGAUUUAUUGGGUUUAAAGGGUCCGUAGGCGGAUCUGUAAGUCAGUGGUGAAAUCUCACAGCUUAACUGUGAAACUGCCAUUGAUACUGCAGGUCUUGAGUGUUGUUGAAGUAGCUGGAAUAAGUAGUGUAGCGGUGAAAUGCAUAGAUAUUACUUAGAACACCAAUUGCGAAGGCAGGUUACUAAGCAACAACUGACGCUGAUGGACGAAAGCGUGGGGAGCGAACAGGAUUA
rnacentral:rRNA from 1 species